UAGCGCGGUGGUCCCACCUGACCCCAUGCCGAACUCAGAAGUGAAACGCCGUAGCGCCGAUGGUAGUGUGGGGUCUCCCCAUGCGAGAGUAGGGAACUGCCUGGC
rnacentral:rRNA from 1 species